rnacentral:lncRNA from 1 species
GUGAAUUGUCUGAAUAUGACGUGUUCUAAUAACUUGAAGCAAAGGUCCAACUUGUAUCGGAUGAUCAUACUGUUCACCGUGGUUGUUGCUCACGGAUUUUGUAGUGAAGUAACUUGGGUCUAUCGUCCCGAUGUUCCCGAUUUUGUUAAGCACCACUUCCGGGCGCUGCUGACGGCGGGGGGGUCCGUUUUGUUGAUGACUUGUGGCCUGGGGUGUCUACUAUUGUGGAUCGCCAAAGCUUCCGCUACUUUUCCUUUAUGUGGGUCUUCUUGUUUUUGCAAAAGUCUGGCUCCAUCCCAG